rnacentral:lncRNA from 1 species
CAGAAGACUCAUGGCCAGGGGGAGAGGUGGGAAGUAAUUUCCAGAGGAACUUCAUCAUUAUGGGUUCUGAUUGGAGCACGACUAUGACUAUAUAAUGCUGUACGGAAUCCUUCUCUUCCCUGUUCCAUCCUGAAGGAGAGAGCUAGAGUAACAGGUGUGCAGAGAUGGGGACUUUCCUGGCAAUGAUGACUGAUGUGCCUGAUGACUAAGGCACAGAUGACUGAAAAGACUCAGAGGUGGAAGUCAGUGAAGAUGAAGAAAUCCAGAACUCGGCGACCAGCACUGUGAGAGGGAACUGAGCGAGGAGACUGACACGCCUGGGAAGAGGGCAACCUCAGGCUGGAGGAGAACGCUGGAGCCCCAGCCCUCAGUGAAUUUUCAGGGGGACUUAAAGGAGGGGCAGAAGACAGAACACGUGGAUAGCAGGAGCUUCGAAGGAGAAGCUGAUCAGGGUUAAGCAGAAAUGGCAACGCCUACCCCACAGAGGCUAAAUCAGUGUAUUCCUGUGUGAGUGUGGACUCUCCGUGAAGAUGACAGUACCAGUGCAGACUCCAGCAAUCAAGCAGGAUCGCCAUCGGUGACUUCUCAAGUGGUGAACUCAUAGCAGAGUUUUAAAUAAAACACAGUACAAUCUUUUCUUAAUGUA